rfam:Populus trichocarpa isolate Nisqually-1 chromosome 10, whole genome shotgun sequence.
UAGUCUGUUUGGGUCAUAUCUCUAUCUAGUAGUGUCAGAUCCUCGCCUAAAUGCUGAGAACUUUCAGUUUUUACAAGUCUGACAGCAUCACAAGACUAUUAUUUAUGAAAUGACUAUAAU